rnacentral:rRNA from 1 species
CCCCAAGGUCCUCCGCCGUGCGAGCCUGUCCCUUCCCGCCUUCUCCUCGCCGCGCCGCCGGCCGCUCCACCCCAGCUCGCCCCCGUCCGUGAAGGCGACAGCCGCCAGCAGCGGCCCGAGUCGAGGGAGGGAGGGAGGUUCCUCUCAGAUAAAGAUUGGGCAGUUUGGCCGGGGCAGAGCAAACAUGGGACAUUUUAUCAAUUAGCCCCCGCAACUAAAGCCGCAGUGUCGCUCGCUACUCGCUCACAGCCGGCGGAGACGAACCAUAGAUGGUGCCGGAGGACGGCGCGCAACAGGGGGCGGCCGCCACCGUGGAGCACCCCGUGGUGUCGGAGGUGGACUCGUUCCGGCGCCAGGUCGACGACCUCGCCUCCAAGACCGACGUGCUGGAGAGGAGGGUGAACGAGGUGGUAGGGUUCUACGACGUCAAGAAGCAUGGCAGUGGAGGGCGCAGGGCCAGUGGUAGCAGCAGGUAUGCGGCGAAUGGUGCAAGGGACAGCAACUGCAAAGGGAUGCCCGACCUCAUGCGCCAGCUUACCGGUAUCAUUCGCCAGAUCACGUCUCAUGAAUGGUCAGCGCCAUUUCUGCAACCAGUAGAUGUUGUAGGCCUACAACUUGAUGACUAUCACAAGAUUAUAACAAAACCUAUGGAUUUCUCGACCAUCCAAAACAAAAUGGAAGGGAAGGAUGGUACCAAGUAUAAAAGUGUUCGAGAAAUACAUUCUGAUGUUAGAUUAAUUUUUACCAAUGCAAUGACAUACAAUGAUGAACAUCACGAUGUUCACAUAAUGGCCAAGUUAUUACUUGAGAAAUUUGAGGAGAAAUGGCUCCAGCUUCUCCCUAAAGUUGAGAAUGAGGAAAGGAAACAACAGGUGGAACCAAACGAUGCUCCAACCACAGACACUUCUCCGGAAGAUGCUAUUGCAAAAUUAGCAAAAGAUACUGAUGAUGAGCUGAAUGAGAUUAAUAAGCAGCUGGAGGAGCUUCGGAACAUGGUGGUUCAGAGAUGCAGAAAAAUGACCACAGACGAGAAGAGAAAACUCGGUGCAGGCCUUUGCCACCUGACCCCGGAAGAUCUUAGCAAGGCACUGGAGCUGGUCGCACAAGACAAUCCUGACUUCCAAACUACAGCAGAAGAAGUGGACCUUGACAUGGAUGCUCAGAGCGAGACGACCCUCUGGAGGCUGAAGUUCUUUGUGAGGGAAGCGUUGGAGCGACAGGCCAGCGCAGCCGCGGCCCCUGGCAAGACCGACGAAAACGCGAAGAGGAAGCGCGACAUCUACAAUGCUCUAGCCAAGACCGCCUCGAAACGGAUCAGGAGAUAGCCUGGUUCAGGAUGUUUCUGUAGAAGUAGCUGUCACACGGGACAAUUUUCUCCCUCGUGUGGCAGUGUAUAUAUGAACAUGAAUCUGCACUAAGGAGUGGCACCUGACCUGGUCUAAUGUGUAGCAUGUUAUUGCCACCUAUGGUAAAAUACAGAGCAAUGUUGAUGCAGCUCAAAAAUAAUAAUCACAACAGAGGUGAUGUUUAUUAUUACAUAAAAUUGACGGUGUGUGCUCUGCACAUGGCGC